GUACAGUUUUAUUGUCUUUUGUUGAAUACACAUUUGUCUUAUUGCCAGUCCAGAUAACCAAGUAUAUAAAGAAAAUACUAAACUUUGCUUUUGGCAGAAGCCAAGAUAACCUGUGCAGAUUAAAACGACUUACUUCAGUCUAAGAAAUGGUUUUGAAUCAUACAAAUCUUUUAUGAAAAAUAACUGUCCAAAAGCAUUCUCCUAGCUUGUAACACACUUCCAGAAUAACUCUCAAAAAAAAAAUUCAAAAAUACUACCAUAAAAAUAUGUCAAUACCAUAUGGCUUUAUGAAAUAACUUCUAAAUUUUUUUGAUUUUUAUUUAAAAAGUUUCCCAAGUUUUAAAUAAACAGCUAGCAACAUUUUCUUCACUUAAAAGUGCAUAUAUCUGGGAAUGGGACAUACAUAACUUUUUGAACAAAUAAUGAAUUUUACAAAUUAACACACACAGUUAAGAUAUUUUAAGAGGCAAAGUUUUUCCAGGAAGUCAUCUAGACUGCAAUAGAUGACUCUUUACCUUUUCCCCACAGCCUCGGAUUAUCGAGGAGGGGCUCUGGCAGUCUUAAGACACAUCACAGUCUCUACCAGGAGACACUGAUGACAGUGAGGUCCGUGGAGAUGGCACUGGUCUCGAUGGUUCAGCCUGAAUAGACACAUUACUCGACUGGCUCUCCAAAUCAGAGGCAAAGGUGCUUUCUUCUCUUACAUCAAGAGUUUGUUCAACUGGGACUGCCGGCGAGUCACAAUUCUCCACAGUUUGGCUGGUGCUCAAGUCAUCAGCAAGUGCUGUAACGUCACAGUCCUUGUCCAGGACACCAAGCUCAUCUUCGAUUGUGACAACAUCUUUAGUUUCAAAUGCUCCAUCUUGUAUAGGCUGUGGAAGACUGCCAUUGCUACAUUCAAUACCCGCCUUUACUUCAGACUCUCCAUCGCUGUCACUGUCGAUGGUUAUAACCACCGGCGACCGUGAAGUAUUAUCUCCAUGGUGUUUCUUAUGCUUCUUCUUAUGUUUCUUCUUUUUCUUCUUAUGGUGUUUGCUUGUGUCCGUAGCCUUUCCUUCAUAAACUAUCUCUACACUUAGGCUCCGGGUCCUCCUCCUCCUCCUCUUGUGUUUUGUCUCUCUGUCUGAUGAUCUGCUAUCUGAAAAGCUGUCACUCUCAUUUUUAUAACUGCCAUCCAAUUUUGAUUUUUGGUAAUGACUGUCCUUCCCUUUGGAAGUGAACUCCCGAGCCGGCUGAGCCUCUUCACUGGUACCUUCCAAAUGCCGGGUUUUGUACUUGCGUUUCCCUCCGGGCUUCUCAUUUCUCACCCGGUCGGGCCCGGCGGAUGUAGUCCUCGACCUGUUACUGGACACGCUCCUGGACCGGCGCCUUUCAUAGUAGUAGUAUUUCCUUUCACUGUGAUUCUUCUUCCUCGCAUUUGUUCUUUCAGAAAAAGACUGAAUUCUAAAUUCUGGACUUGAAGACUGUCUAGAGUAAUGGGCUCUUGAAAGAGUCCUCCUCCUGUAUGAUGAUUCAUAGCCAUCUCUGUCCUUGUUUCUGCUGUAGACAGAGCGUGGAGAUGACGCCCGGCUAACAUCACUGUCACCUGAACUGUACGACUGCUCUUGCUCCUGAGUCUUCACUGUCUCCACUUUCUCAUAAGGGCCCAACUCCUCAGAAUCAGAAGACAGUUCAACAAGUUCCGGGGUCCUUUCAGCCAAUGGCUUAACAAACCCAACAAUGACACAAUUAUCUGACGAUGAAUCACUGUCAUUAUUGACAUCGUCAUUGGUCUGUACUCCUUGUAUCUGAGAUGUGGUUCCUCCAGAGACAAGCUCUUCAUCUGAACUGUCUGAAGAAUUUAAAAGGGAAGACACGCCAACAUGCACUUGCUCUGAACUUGAAUAAGAUGGUCCAGGAGUUUCAUCAUCCCACGGUGCCUGCCUAACAGUAGAUGCAUUCAUAUCUAGCUCUUGAGUUUCAGCCUCAUCUGGUGAUAUUGUAAUGACUGAAGAAUCUGAACGGCUGCCUUCUUCAGAUGAAGGAGGGCAAUCAUAAUUAGCAUGCUGGUCAAAAGCUGCCAUAUUGAAGGGAGAUCUAGCAAAACUGAUAAAUUCAUGUAUAAAAUGCUCAGUUCGAUUAAGCAAAAAUGGUCUUAAGUCAGACACAAAUGCCUGACUCUCCAAAUCAUAGCGAGUAACAUUACUCAUGAUGAUGUGCUGGACGAUAUUGACUAGCGAACCAUGGGCUCCAAAAAGCACAGUAAGUUCACGCUUUAACCAAGGAACUAAUCUGUGAAGGCAAGCUGGAUUUCUACGGAAGAACUCAGCUGAAAUAUCCCUGUAGCGGCCACCAUCUUCAAUACUUCUAACUCGAACACCAGCACGAUAAAGAGUUCGCCUGAAAUUAAUAAUAUCUUGUUCUUGAAUUUUCCGCAAAGAUCUCUCAUCUGUAGUAGUUGGCCCCCUUAAUGCCAUUUGUCUCAUAAAUUGAGGAAUGUCAACAUCUCUAGGUCUUGUCGAAAUGCCUAACCCUUCAAACAGCACUCCACUAUCUGGUGGCGUGGUUGUUCUCCUACUUACAGUACUACUGGGUGAAUAAAGAGAGGCGCUCCGUUCUCUCGUCAUAGUUGUCCGGUAGCGAAACCUUCGAACCUCAGGGUUAGUAAAGGAACCAUUAUAGGAAGGCCUCAGGACAUACUCCUUGAAGUCAUCUUCAGCCCUCACUGAAUGGAAAAUAGAAUCAAAGGGCUGUUUACACAGUGGGCAUUCGGCUUUGUUUUUGGACCACUCUUGUACACAGCGAAAACAGAACUUAUGUAGGCAACGAUCUAAGUAAGACACAUUAUCAAAUCUAUCCAAGCAUAUAGGACACUUAGAAUCAGGAGACGCAUCAGCUGGUACUGUCUGCUGCAAUUUGCUAGUGCCAGCUUUAGGUGAAAAGUUGUCCAUUUUAAAUUCCUUAGCAGCUGAGGCCAUUAUCUGU
rnacentral:lncRNA from 1 species